rnacentral:ncRNA from 2 species
UACGUAUGUCCCAAGCGUUAUCCGGAUUUAUUGGGCGUAAAGCGAGCGCAGACGGUUAUUUAAGUCUGAAGUGAAAGCCCUCAGCUCAACUGAGGAAUUGCUUUGGAAACUGGAUGACUUGAGUGCAGUAGAGGAAAGUGGAACUCCAUGUGUAGCGGUGGAAUGCGUAGAUAUAUGGAAGAACACCAGUGGCGAAGGCGGCUUUCUGGACUGUAACUGACGUUGAGGCUCGAAAGUGUGGGUAGCAAACAGG